UCCCUGGUAGUCUAGUGGUUAGAACUUGGCACUUUCACUGCUGAGGUCCAGGUUCAAUCCCAGGUUUGAGAA
rnacentral:tRNA from 1 species